AGGACGAACGCUGGCGGCGUGCUUAACACACGCAAGUCGAACGAGGUCCAUCCAGUGGCAACACUGGUGAAGACCUAGUGGCGAACGGGUGAGUAACACGUGAGGAACCUGCCCCGAAGACCGGGAUAACCCUCCGAAAGGAGAGCUAAUACCGGAUACCCUCACCGAAUCGCAUGGUUGGUGAGGAAAUGGAUUCCGCUUCGGGAGGCCUCGCGGCCUAUCAGCUUGUGGUGGGUAACGCCCACAAGGCAUCGACGGGUAGCUGGUCUGAGAGGACGACCAGUCACACUGGGACUGAGACACGGCCCAGACUCCUACGGGAGGCAGCGAGGUGGGAAUCGUGCACGAAGUGGACGAAGCUGAUGACAGACAACGGCCGCGUGGCGGGAUCGGACCGGUCCGUUCGGGUUACGUAACCGUC
rnacentral:rRNA from 1 species